GACGAACGCUGGCGGCGUGCUUAACACAUGCAAGUCGUACGGUAAGGCCCUUUCGGGGGUACACGAGUGGCGAACGGGUGAGUAACACGUGAGUAACCUGCCCACAACUUUGGGAUAACGCUAGGAAACUGGUGCUAAUACUGGAUAUGUGCUCCUGCUGCAUGGUGGGGGUUGGAAAGCUCCGGCGGUUGUGGAUGGACUCGCGGCCUAUCAGCUUGUUGGUGGGGUAGUGGCCUACCAAGGCGGCGACGGGUAGCCGGCCUGAGAGGGUGACCGGCCACAUUGGGACUGAGAUACGGCCCAGACUCCUACGGGAGGCAGCAGUGGGGAAUAUUGCACAAUGGGCGCAAGCCUGAUGCAGCAACGCCGCGUGCGGGAUGACGGCCUUCGGGUUGUAAACCGAUUUCAGAAGGGACGAAGCUUUUUGUGACGGUACCUGCAGAAGAAGCACCGGCUAACUACGUG
rnacentral:rRNA from 1 species